GUUCCUACGGGGGGCAGCAGUAGGGAAUUUUCGUCAAUGGGCGCAAGCCUGAACGAGCGAUGCCGCGUGAGUGAAGAAGGCCUUCGGGUCGUAAAGCUCUGUUGCGGGGGAAAAAAGGCAGCAUCAGGAAAUGGGUGCUGACUGAUGGUGCCCCGCCAGAAAGUCACGGCUAACUACGUGCCAGCAGCCGCGGUAAUACGUAGGAUGCGAGCGUUAUCCGGAUUUAUUGGGUUUAAAGGGUGCGUAGGCGGGCUUUUAAGUCAGCGGGAAAAAUUCGGGGCUCAACCCCGGCCGGUCGUUGAAAC
rnacentral:rRNA from 1 species